CACAUGUGGCUGGAGUGCAACAAGAUCUGCACACAGAUGGAGGCCACUGCCCCUUUGGUCGUGGUAGCAAACACUGAAGUAAACUGCAGACUGUCCUAGUUAGACCUGAUGCAUAGACCUCUGCACAUGAAAAGGACAUUGAAAGCUGCAGGGAUUAUGGAUGAAUGUUGCUUUGCCUUUGUUGACAUGGUUCUCUUCAGGUAUUUCCAGCCUACCUGAUGAAAGUCCCAAGAGUUCUCUUACAGGGCUAGCAGAGAUGCAGAGAGGAGGAAGUCUGGGGAGCUUUUCUGGGGAGCUCUUCCAGGGACUUCAGAAUGAUGCUGACUUCUGGAUGACAAUUAGACAUCCAGCAUAUGUUGCUGCUGAUUUGGUGUUCCUGCUGCAUAACCCGAAA